rnacentral:rRNA from 1 species
GCGGCCUAUCAGCUUGUUGGUGGGGUAAUGGCCUACCAAGGCAACGACGGGUAGCUGGUCUGAGAGGAUGAUCAGCCACACUGGGACUGAGACACGGCCCAGACUCCUACGGGAGGCAGCAGUGGGGAAUCUUGCGCAAUGGGCGAAAGCCUGACGCAGCAACGCCACGUGCGGGAUGAAGGCCUUCGGGCUGUAAACCGCUUUCAGCAGGAACGAAAAUGACGGUACCUGCAGAAGAAGGAGCGGCCAACUACGUGCCAGCAGCCGCGGUGACACGUAGGCUCCAAGCGUUGUCCGGAUUUAUUGGGCGUAAAGAGCUCGUAGGCGGUUUAGUAAGUCGGGUGUUAAAACUCUGGGCUCAACCCGGAGAGGCCAUCCGAUACUGCUGUGACUUGAGUUCAGGAGGGGAGACUGGAAUUCCU